rnacentral:rRNA from 1 species
AACGAACGCUGGCGGCAUGCCUAACACAUGCAAGUCGAACGAGACCUUCGGGUCUAGUGGCGCACGGGUGCGUAACGCGUGGGAACCUGCCCUUAGGUUCGGAAUAACUCCCCGAAAGGGGUGCUAAUACCGGAUAAUGUCUUCGGACCAAAGAUUUAUCGCCUUUGGAUGGGCCCGCGUUGGAUUAGCUAGUUGGUAGGGUAAAAGCCUACCACGGCGACGAUCCAUAGCUGGUCUGAGAGGAUGAUCAGCCACACUGGGACUGAGACACGGCCCAGACUCCUGCGGGAGGCAGCAGUGGGGAAGAAUGGACCAUGGGCGGGAGACUGAUCCAGCAAUGCCGCGUGAAUGAUGAAGGCCUUAGGGUUGUAAAGCUCUUUUACCCGGGAUGAUAAUGACAGUACCGGGAGAAUAAGCUCCGGCUAACUCCGUG